rnacentral:rRNA from 1 species
GAGUUUGAUCGUGGCUCAGAGCGAACGCUGGCGGCAGGCCUAACACAUGCAAGUCGAGCGGCCGUAGCAAUACGGCAGCGGCAGACGGGAGAGUAACACGUGGGAACGUGCCCUUCGGUUCGGAAUAACUCAGGGAAACUUGAGCUAAUACCGGAUACGCCCUAACGGGGAAGAUUUAUUGCCGAAGGAGCGGCCCGCGUCUGAUUAGCUUGUUGGUGAGGUAAUGGCUCACCAAGGCGACGAUCAGUAGCUGGUCUGAGAGGAUGAUCAGCCUCACUGGGACUGAGACACGGCCCAGACUCCUACGGGAGGCAGCAGUGGGGAAUAUUGGACAAUGGGCGCAAGCCUGAUCCAGCCAUGCCGCGUGGAUGAUGAAGGCCUUAGGGUUGUAAAGUCCUUUCGUUGGGGAAGAUAAUGACGGUACCCAAAGAAGAAGCCCCGGCUAACCUUCGUGCCAGCAGCCGCAGUAAG